rnacentral:rRNA from 1 species
GAUGGGAGCUUGCUCCCAGGCGUCGAGCGGCGGACGGGUGAGUAACGCGUAGGAAUCUACCCAGUAGUGGGGGAUAGCCCGGGGAAACUCGGAUUAAUACCGCAUACGCCCUACGGGGGAAAGGCCGGGAUCUUCGGACCGGUCGCUAUUGGAUGAGCCUGCGUUGGAUUAGCUAGUUGGUAGGGUAAAGGCCUACCAAGGCGACGAUCCAUAGCUGGUCUGAGAGGAUGAUCAGCCACACUGGAACUGAGACACGGUCCAGACUCCUACGGGAGGCAGCAGUGGGGAAUAUUGGACAAUGGGCGCAAGCCUGAUCCAGCCAUGCCGCGUGUGUGAAGAAGGCUCUAGGGUUGUAAAGCACUUUCAGUAGGGAGGAAGGCCAGAGUGUUAAUAGCGCUUUGGAUUGACGUUACCUACAGAAGCAGCACCGGCUAACUCCGUGCCAGCAGCCGCGGUAAUACGGA